AAUGAGACCACUUCGGGGGUACACGAGUGGCGAACGGGUGAGUAACACGUGGGUAAUCUGCCCUGCACUUCGGGAUAAGCCUGGGAAACUGGGUCUAAUACCGGAUAUGAACUCCUGCCGCAUGGUGGGGGUUGGAAAGUUUUUCGGUGCAGGAUGAGCCCGCGGCCUAUCAGCUUGUUGGUGGGGUAAUGGCCUACCAAGGCGACGACGGGUAGCCGGCCUGAGAGGGUGAUCGGCCACACUGGGACUGAGACACGGCCCAGACUCCUACGGGAGGCAGCAGUGGGGAAUAUUGCACAAUGGGCGAAAGCCUGAUGCAGCGACGCCGCGUGGGGGAUGACGGUCUUCGGAUUGUAAACCCCUUUCAGUAGGGACGAAGCGCAAGUGACGGUACCUGCAGAAGAAGCACCGGCUAACUACGUGCCAGCAGCCGCGGUAAUACGUAGGGUGCGAGCGUUGUCCGGAAUUACUGGGCGUAAAGAGCUCGUAGGCGGUUUGUCACGUCGUCUGUGAAAUCCCUCGGCUUAACCGGGGGCGUGCAGGCGAUACGGGCAGACUUGAGUACUACAGGGGAGACUGGAAUUCCUGGUGUAGCGGUGAAAUGCGCAGAUAUCAGGAGGAACACCGGUGGCGAAGGCGGGUCUCUGGGUAGUAACUGACGCUGAGGAGCGAUAGCAUGGGUAG
rnacentral:rRNA from 1 species